rnacentral:rRNA from 1 species
UACGUAGGCAGCGAGCGUUGUUCGGAGUUACUGGGCGUAAAGAGUGCGUAGGCGGUUUUCUAAGUUUGGUGUGAAAUCUCCCGGCUCAACUGGGAGGGUGCGCCGGAAACUGGAGGGCUAGAGUGCGGGAUGGGAAAGUGGAAUUCCUGGUGUAGCGGUGAAAUGCGUAGAUAUCAUAUAGAACACCGAUUGCGAAGGCAGCUCACUAAACAAGCAUUGACGCUGAGGCACGAAAGCGUGGGGAUCAAACAGG